rnacentral:rRNA from 1 species
AUGAUAUCUAUAGAAGAUAAAGACAUGGAAACAGCAUACCCCCUUUCUUUCCUGUUCUCUUCGAAUAUCAAAAUACUGUUGUUUUGCUUUUGUAACAGCUAUCAAGAUGCAGCAGAGAAAGAUGUCAAGAGAUAUGAACGUUCAUUCAAAAAGCUUUCUCCUGCCCACAAGGAACUUCUAUUUCACCUUGGUCUUAAGUACCAACGACUGAGAUGGUGUAUAUCCAUGAAUAUAUCUUUUAUCAUGAAUAUGCUUGAGGCAUUUGAACCUCCUUUCGACAUGAGUCAGUGUGUAGAUGGUGAUUGUCAUGAUUGUGCAGAGCACAUGCACGGACAUAGUCAUGCUGAUACCAUAAAUAAUUCUGAAUUGCUUGCUCAGCAUUGUUGCCCAGAGGAAGGUGCAAAUACUAGAGAAACUGAGAACAAGAAGGAUGAGGAAGUCCACAUGGUGGGCUGCUCCCAGCCUGCUGCCUGCAACUUGGGGAUAUCCCAAGGUGAAGAUAAAUCAUGUAAUGAUGGUAAAGAUGCGAGUGCAGCUGCUAACUGUCAAGAUACAGAUUGUUUUGCAUCUUCUACUGAUGAAAAUGUAACUCCAGGGCACCGCAGGGCUCCAUCUUUGCCACUGGAUGUUCCUCCAGUUGACGUUGACAAAGUAAGAUGCAUCAUAAGAAAUAUUGUGAGAGACUGGGCCCAGGAGGGUCAAAUUGAACGUGAUGAGUGCUAUAAACCAAUUCUUGAGGAACUUAAUCGUCUUUUUCCUGACCGAAGCAGGCCACCUUCAUGUUUAGUCCCUGGUGCUGGGCUUGGGAGAUUGGCUCUGGAGAUCUCUUCUCUGGGUUUUGUAAGCCAGGGAAAUGAGUUCUCAUAUUACAUGAUGAUCUGUUCAAGUUUCAUUCUAAACCACACCCAAGAGGCCAAUGAAUGGACCAUUUAUCCUUGGAUACACAACAAUUGCAAUUCUCUUUCAGACAAAGAUCAACUUCGGGCUGUUUCAUUUCCUGAUAUUCAUCCCUCAAGUGCUGGGAUAACUGAAGGAUUUUCGAUGUGUGCUGGAGAUUUUGUAGAGGUCUACAAUGAGGAAAGCCAAGAAUCUGCAUGGGAUGCUGUUGUAACUUGCUUCUUCCUCGAUACGGCACACAAUAUUGUUGAAUAUAUUGAGAUAAUAUCAAAAAUUCUCAAGGAUGGUGGAGUCUGGGUAAACAUGGGUCCGCUUCUUUAUCACUUUGCUGAUGCCUAUGGACCAGAUGAUGAUAUGUCUAUCGAACUAAGUUUGGAAGACGUGAAAAGGGUAGCUUACCAUUAUGGAUUUGUGAUGGAGGUGGAGAAAAUGAUAGAUACCACUUACACAGCAAAUAUGGUAUCGAUGAUGCAGAAUCGAUACCGCGCGGCAUUUUGGACGAUGAGGAAGGACGCGUCUCGAUCGAAAGCUAAAAAGCGCCAGUGA